rnacentral:rRNA from 1 species
AUCUGUGGCCAUACUGCCCUGAAUGUGCCCGAUCGCCUCUGGUCUCAGAAGCUAAGCAGGGCCGGGCCUGGUCGGUACUUGGGUGGGAGGUUGACGGUGAAGGUGGAAUUUCACGAGUG